rnacentral:rRNA from 1 species
UGCGUAGGCGGGAUCUUAAGUCAGAGGUGAAAGCCUGGAGCUCAACUCCAGAACUGCCUUUGAUACUGGGAUUCUUGAGUUCGGGAGAGGUGAGCGGAACUGCGAGUGUAGAGGUGAAAUUCGUAGAUAUUCGCAAGAACACCAGUGGCGAAGGCGGCUCACUGGCCCGAUACUGACGCUGAGGCACGAAAGCGUGGGUAGCAAACAGGAUUAGAUACCCUGGUAGUCCACGCCGUAAACGAUGAAUGCCAGCCGUUAGGGGGUUUACUCUCUAGUGGCGCAGUUAACGCUUUAAGCAUUCCGCCUGGGGAGUACGGUCGCAAGAUUAAA